AAACGCAAGUGCGAAGUUCUCGCAGCUCCCUUCAUGAAAUGUGUAGCGGGAAAGUUUGGUUGGUUGAAGGCUGAUGGCUCCAUCGACAACGAGAAGCUCUUAGCCGAGUACAAGAAUUGGGCCGCGGGCCCUGCCUGCGACGUCGCUCAGUACGACUUCGGAGUGAAAAAAUGCGGAAAGAAAAUCAAGAACUACGCGUUCCUAAAGAAGGCCGCAUGCAUCGCCAACGCGACGGAGAAGUACACCGGGUGACGUGCACAAGCUGGUCCUCAUGCCUUCAUCUGACUGGCGGCUUUGAAGUGUUCACAACAGGUGCACAAUAAUAAUUAGGAGACUACUUUCUCCAGUCAAUGCGUCCACUUGCAGUAAAUAUUGUCUAAUUGGAAGUUCACUGUAAUUUAUGAAGCAAUAUAAUUUUAUAUAUAAUAUACAAUGUGUCAAGAAAUUGCUAUUUGAUGCACUUGAAAUUAUUAGAAUUCGACAAGAUCAAUGCAAUGUGGCUAGAAUAUAAGUUCAAAUAAAUGAGCGUA